UCCAGAAUGUGAAAACUAGCUCAUAAUU
rnacentral:piRNA from 1 species